UCCAUUUAACAACGUGUCGACGUCGGAGCGAAUCGAUGGGAGCUUGCUCCCUGAGAUUAGCGGCGGACGGGUGAGUAACACGUGGGCAACCUGCCUAUAAGACUGGGAUAACUUCGGGAAACCGGAGCUAAUACCGGAUACGUUCUUUUCUCGCAUGAGAGAAGAUGGAAAGACGGUUUACGCUGUCACUUAUAGAUGGGCCCGCGGCGCAUUAGCUAGUUGGUGAGGUAAUGGCUCACCAAGGCGACGAUGCGUAGCCGACCUGAGAGGGUGAUCGGCCACACUGGGACUGAGACACGGCCCAGACUCCUACGGGAGGCAGCAGUAGGGAAUCUUCCGCAAUGGACGAAAGUCUGACGGAGCAACGCCGCGUGAACGAAGAAGGCCUUCGGGUCGUAAAGUUCUGUUGUUAGGGAAGAACAAGUACCAGAGUAACUGCUGGUACCUUGACGGUACCUAACCAGAAAGCCACGGCUAACUACGUGCCAGCAGCCGCGGUAAUACGUAGGUGGCAAGCGUUGUCCAGAAUUAUUGGGCGUAAGCGCGCGCAGGUGGUUCCUUAAGUCUGAUGUGAAACCCGCGGAUCAACCGUGGAGCAUCAUUGAAACUGGGAAACUUGAGUGCAGAGAGAAGGUGGACUUCGAGUGUAGCGUAAAAUGCGAGAGUGUGGAAAACACAGUGCAAGGCAUUUGGCUCUGAACUAACAGUGAGGCGAUAG
rnacentral:rRNA from 1 species